GAGGCUCUUGUUACUGGGGAGAUGCUGCCCGAAUUUAUAUAAAUGAGCUACAAGUUUAAGUUGCAAACUUAGCCUUUAUUCAACACUAAUUUUGAAUCUCCUUAUGCAAUGGUAGAUUGAGUUGAGUUGUUUGAAGAGUUGCUUAAGAUGUAUUAAGGACUCACCAUGGUUAAGGUAUGUUAAGGCACUUCCCUCUUUCUUUUGGCAUGAUCUAAAGUGAAAUGAAUACACUAUUUCGUAACAGAUCUACUCCUAGAAACUAAGGUUGCCCAUGUUGUUCUUUCCUUAUAAAGUUAUUCUAAGAAGGUAUGUAUGAUCCUUGAAUCCUAUAGAAGCUCAUAUUGAUGGUAUGAUGUCCAUAAUGUUAAUCGAAGGUGCAACGACCUUAAGUCACUCCAAAAGGUUUAGAACGUGAUUCCAUGAGUUUAGCAUGCAUUAUAUAUAAUAUUUAUUUUACUCUACCGAGCCGCACUAUAGUAGGCCGGGUACGAUAUAUAUUGUGUAACCACUGAUCAGUUGGAUUUACCGAGCUCCACGUGGCCGGGUACGAUUCUACCGAGCCUUAUGAUGGCCGGGUAUGUUUUUACCGAGUCCUCUUUGAGGCCGGGUACGAUAUGAUGAUGAUGAUGAUGAUGAUGUCUACAGACGCGUAUAUUUUUAAAAGUUUAUGUAUAUAUAUAUGUAUUACGCAUUUCAUGUCAACAUCCCACAGAGGCACGCAGAUUUUACAGGUUGUAUCUCCUCUAUCUCUAUUUAUAUUACUAUUCUUGUUUAUGCUUUCUUGCUUUACAUACUCGGUACUUUAUUGGUACUGACGUCCCUUUUGCCUGGGGACGCUGCGUUUCAUGCCUGCAGGUCCCAAUUGAUAGGUUGACAUUCCUCCUAGUAGGCUAUCAGCUCAGCGGAGGUGUUGGUGCACUCCACUUGCUUCGGAGUUGCCUAUUUGGUUAGUAUGCUUUAGAUAUAUAUUGAUUGACAUG
rnacentral:lncRNA from 1 species